rnacentral:rRNA from 1 species
AUGGGGCAACAAAAAACAAUUCGAUCGCUGCCCAUUAGGCUAACCUCCAUCGGCCGCGGGUCACCGUACAACCAGAUCGAUCCAGGUGAGAGAGAGAUGGCAGUCUAUCCAGCCCCCGCGGGCGAUGCGGGCAACAAGGGGAUCAGUCGGUCCAACCGACACAGGCGAUUAGUCUGCUACAGAAUGGAGAAAGGAGGGAGAGGAUCCAGCCGACGCAGGCGAUUCAUGCCGAUGCUUCGUCUGAUCAGAACUGCUCCAUCGAGAUUUCAAGAUGUGGUCAUUCUUCAGUUUAUGUUCUGA